rnacentral:rRNA from 1 species
UACGUAGGGGGCAAGCGUUAUCCGGAUUUACUGGGUGUAAAGGGAGCGUAGACGGCUCUGCAAGUCUGGAGUGAAAACCCGGGGCUCAACCCUGGGACUGCUUUGGAAACUGUGGAGCUUGAGUACCGGAGGGGUAAGCGGAAUUCCUAGUGUAGCGGUGAAAUGCGUAGAUAUUAGGAGGAACACCAGUGGCGAAGGCGGCUUACUGGACGGUAACUGACGUUGAGGCUCGAAAGCGUGGGGAGCAAACAGG